UACGUAGGGUGCGAGCGUUGUCCGGAAUUAUUGGGCGUAAAGAGCUCGUAGGCGGUUUGUUGCGUCUGUCGUGAAAACCUGCAGCUUAACUGUGGGCUUGCGGUGGAUACGGGCAGACUUGAGUUCGGUAGGGGAGACUGGAAUUCCUGGUGUAGCGGUGAAAUGCGCAGAUAUCAGGAGGAACACCGGUGGCGAAGGCGGGACUCUGGGCCGAUACUGACGCUGAGGAGCGAAAGCGUGGGGAGCGAACAGG
rnacentral:rRNA from 1 species